rnacentral:rRNA from 1 species
AGCGAACGCUGGCGGCAGGCCUAACACAUGCAAGUCGAGCGGCCGUAGCAAUACGGCAGCGGCAGACGGGAGAGUAACACGUGGGAACGCGCCCUUCGGUUCGGAAUAACUCAGGGAAACUUGGGCUAAUACCGGAUACGCCCUUACGGGGAAAGAUUUAUUGCCGAAGGAACGGCCCGCGUCCGAUUAGCUUGUUGGUGAGGUAACGGCUCACCAAGGCGACGAUCGGUAGCUGGUCUGAGAGGAUGACCAGCCUCACUGGGACUGAGACACGGCCCAGACUCCUACGGGAGGCAGCAGUGGGGAAUAUUGGACAAUGGGCGCAAGCCUGAUCCAGCCAUGCCGCGUGAGUGAUGAAGGCCCUAGGGUUGUAAAGCUCUUUCAGCGGGGAAGAUAAUGACGGUACCCGCAGAAGAAGCCCCGGCUAACUUCGUGCCAGCAGCCGCCGUAACAC